rnacentral:rRNA from 1 species
CCUACGGGUGGCUGCAGUAGGGAAUAUUGCACAAUGGGCGAAAAGCCUGAUGCAGCAACGCCGCGUGUGUGAUGAAGGCCUUCGGGUCGUAAAGCACUUUUCUGGGAGAUGAGAAAGGACAGUAUCCCAGGAAUAAGUCUCGGCUAACUACGUGCCAGCAGCCGCGGUAAAACGUAGGAGGCAAGCGUUAUCCGGAUUCACUGGGCGUAAAGCGCGUGCAGGUGGCGCGGUAAGUUGGGCGUGAAAUCUCCCGGCUCAACUGGGAGAGGUCGUUCAAUACUACCGUGCUUGAGAGCAGAAGAGGAAGAUGGAAUUCCCGGUGUAGUGGUGAAAUGCGUAGAUAUCGGGAGGAACACCAAUGGCGAAGGCGAUCUUCUGGUCUGUUUCUGACACUCAGACGCGACAGCUAGGGUAGUAAACGGGAUUAGAUACCCCGGUAG